rnacentral:rRNA from 1 species
GGUUAAGCGACUAAGCGUACACGGUGGAUGCCCUGGCAGUCAGAGGCGAUGAAGGACGUGCUAAUCUGCGAAAAGCGUCGGUAAGGUGAUAUGAACCGUUAUAACCGGCGAUGUCCGAAUGGGGAAACCCAGUGUGUUUCGACACACUAUCAUUAACUGAAUCCAUAGGUUAAUGAGGCGAACCGGGGGAACUGAAACAUCUAAGUACCCCGAGGAAAAGAAAUCAACCGAGAUUCCCCCAGUAGCGGCGAGCGAACGGGGAGGAGCCCAGAGCCUGAAUCAGUGUGUGUGUUAGUGGAAGCGUCUGGAAAGGCGCGCGAUACAGGGUGACAGCCCCGUACACAAAAAUGCACAUGCUGUGAGCUCGAUGAGUAGGGCGGGACACGUGGUAUCCUGUCUGAAUAUGGGGGGACCAUCCUCCAAGGCUAAAUACUCCUGACUGACCGAUAGUGAACCAGUACCGUGAGGGAAAGGCGAAAAGAACCCCGGCGAGGGGAGUGAAAAAGAACCUGAAACCGUGUACGUACAAGCAGUGGGAGCCCUGAUUUAUCAGGGUGACUGCGUACCUUUUGUAUAAUGGGUCAGCGACUUAUAUUCUGUAGCAAGGUUAACCGAAUAGGGGAGCCGGAGGGAAACCGAGUCUUAACUGGGCGUUAAGUUGCAGGGUAUAGACCCGAAACCCGGUGAUCUAGCCAUGGGCAGGUUGAAGGUUGGGUAACACUAACUGGAGGACCGAACCGACUAAUGUUGAAAAAUUAGCGGAUGACUUGUGGCUGGGGGUGAAAGGCCAAUCAAACCGGGAGAUAGCUGGUUCUCCCCGAAAGCUAUUUAGGUAGCGCCUCGUGAAUUCAUCUCCGGGGGUAGAGCACUGUUUCGGCAAGGGGGUCAUCCCGACUUACCAACCCGAUGCAAACUGCGAAUACCGGAGAAUGUUAUCACGGGAGACACACGGCGGGUGCUAACGUCCGUCGUGAAGAGGGAAACAACCCAGACCGCCAGCUAAGGUCCCAAAGUCAUGGUUAAGUGGGAAACGAUGUGGGAAGGCCCAGACAGCCAGGAUGUUGGCUUAGAAGCAGCCAUCAUUUAAAGAAAGCGUAAUAGCUCACUGGUCGAGUCGGCCUGCGCGGAAGAUGUAACGGGGCUAAACCAUGCACCGAAGCUGCGGCAGCGACACUGUGUGUUGUUGGGUAGGGGAGCGUUCUGUAAGCCUGCGAAGGUGUGCUGUGAGGUAUGCUGGAGGUAUCAGAAGUGCGAAUGCUGACAUAAGUAACGAUAAAGCGGGUGAAAAGCCCGCUCGCCGGAAGACCAAGGGUUCCUGUCCAACGUUAAUCGGGGCAGGGUGAGUCGACCCCUAAGGCGAGGCCGAAAGGCGUAGUCGAUGGGAAACAGGUUAAUAUUCCUGUACUUGGUGUUACUGCGAAGGGGGGACGGAGAAGGCUAUGUUGGCCGGGCGACGGUUGUCCCGGUUUAAGCGUGUAGGCUGGUUUUCCAGGCAAAUCCGGAGAAUCAAGGCUGAGGCGUGAUGACGAGGCACUACGGUGCUGAAGCGACAAAUGCCCUGCUUCCAGGAAAAGCCUCUAAGCAUCAGGUAACAUCAAAUCGUACCCCAAACCGACACAGGUGGUCAGGUAGAGAAUACCAAGGCGCUUGAGAGAACUCGGGUGAAGGAACUAGGCAAAAUGGUGCCGUAACUUCGGGAGAAGGCACGCUGAUAUGUAGGUGAAGCGACUUGCUCGUGGAGCUGAAAUCAGUCGAAGAUACCAGCUGGCUGCAACUGUUUAUUAAAAACACAGCACUGUGCAAACACGAAAGUGGACGUAUACGGUGUGACGCCUGCCCGGUGCCGGAAGGUUAAUUGAUGGGGUCAGCGCAAGCGAAGCUCUUGAUCGAAGCCCCGGUAAACGGCGGCCGUAACUAUAACGGUCCUAAGGUAGCGAAAUUCCUUGUCGGGUAAGUUCCGACCUGCACGAAUGGCGUAAUGAUGGCCAGGCUGUCUCCACCCGAGACUCAGUGAAAUUGAACUCGCUGUGAAGAUGCAGUGUACCCGCGGCAAGACGGAAAGACCCCGUGAACCUUUACUAUAGCUUGACACUGAACACUGGUCCUUGAUGUGUAGGAUAGGUGGGAGGCUUUGAAGUGUGGACGCCAGUCUGCAUGGAGCCGUCCUUGAAAUACCACCCUUUAAUGGCUGGUGUUCUAACGUGGGCCCGUAAUCCGGGUUGCGGACAGUGUCUGGUGGGUAGUUUGACUGGGGCGGUCUCCUCCUAAAGAGUAACGGAGGAGCACGAAGGUUGGCUAAUCCUGGUCGGACAUCAGGAGGUUAGUGCAAUGGCAUAAGCCAGCUUGACUGCGAGCGUGACGGCGCGAGCAGGUGCGAAAGCAGGUCAUAGUGAUCCGGUGGUUCUGAAUGGAAGGGCCAUCGCUCAACGGAUAAAAGGUACUCCGGGGAUAACAGGCUGAUACCGCCCAAGAGUUCAUAUCGACGGCGGUGUUUGGCACCUCGAUGUCGGCUCAUCACAUCCUGGGGCUGAAGUAGGUCCCAAGGGUAUGGCUGUUCGCCAUUUAAAGUGGUACGCGAGCUGGGUUUAGAACGUCGUGAGACAGUUCGGUCCCUAUCUGCCGUGGGCGCUGGAGAACUGAGGGGGGCUGCUCCUAGUACGAGAGGACCGGAGUGGACGCAUCACUGGUGUUCGGGUUGUCAUGCCAAUGGCACUGCCCGGUAGCUAAAUGCGGAAGAGAUAAGUGCUGAAAGCAUCUAAGCACGAAACUUGCCCCGAGAUGAGUUCUCCCUGAGACUUAGAGUCUCCUGAAGGAACGUUGAAGACGACGACGUUGAUAGGCCGGGUGUGUAAGCGCAGCGAUGCGUUGAGCUAACCGGUACUAAUGAACCGUGAGGCUUAACCUU